rnacentral:rRNA from 1 species
AGUGAACGCUGGCGGUAGGCCUAACACAUGCAAGUCGAACGGCAGCACAGUAAGAGCUUGCUCUUACGGGUGGCGAGUGGCGGACGGGUGAGGAAUACAUCGGAAUCUACUUUUUCGUGGGGGAUAACGUAGGGAAACUUACGCUAAUACCGCAUACGACCUACGGGUGAAAGCAGGGGAUCUUCGGACCUUGCGCGAUUGAAUGAGCCGAUGUCGGAUUAGCUAGUUGGCGGGGUAAAGGCCCACCAAGGCGACGAUCCGUAGCUGGUCUGAGAGGAUGAUCAGCCACACUGGAACUGAGACACGGUCCAGACUCCUACGGGAGGCAGCAGUGGGGAAUAUUGGACAAUGGGCGCAAGCCUGAUCCAGCCAUACCGCGUGGGUGAAGAAGGCCUUCGGGUUGUAAAGCCCUUUUGUUGGGAAAGAAAAGCAGCAGGUUAAUACCCCGCUGUUCUGACGGAACCCAAAGAAUAAGCACCGGCUAACUUCG